rnacentral:rRNA from 1 species
GACGAACCGUGCGAACGUUAUUCGGAAUCACUGGACUUAAAGCGCGUGUAGGCGGGCCGCCGCGUCGGCUGCUGAAAUCCCCCGGCUCAACCGGGGAACGGGCACCGAUACGGGCGGCCUCGAGGGGGGUAGGGGGGCCUGGAACUUCCGGUGGAGCGGUGAAAUGCGUUGAGAUCGGAAGGAACGCCAAUGGUGAAAACAGCUCGCUGGGGGUGUGCUGACGCUGAGACACGAAAGCCGGGAGCAAACGGG